UACGUAGGGGGCAAGCGUUGUCCGGAUUUAUUGGGCGUAAAGAGCGUGUAGGCGGCCAUACAGGUCAGCUGUGAAAACUCGAGGCUCAACCUCGAGACGUCGGUUGAAACCGUAUGGCUAGAGUCCGGAAGAGGAGAGUGGAAUUCCCGGUGUAGCGGUGGAAUGCGUAGAGAUCGGGAGGAACACCAGUGGCGAAAGCGGCUAUCUGGACGGUUUCUGACGCUAAGACGCGAAAGCGUGGGGAGCAAACAGG
rnacentral:rRNA from 1 species